CACACACACACACAUUGAAUUUAUUGGGUUUUUUCCAUUCUCAUUUUCAGAUUAAUGCUGAAUUCAAGCGGAUCACAACAAUGCCCCUGCAGUCCAGAUUUCUAUCUCAACUAGAUGUUCACUCAGAAACUGAUCAAACUUUUUAAAAACAGAGGAGGACAGAUAGGCAGACGCCUAGGGGCCAUCACUGCACCCAUGGAUGAAGAUGAUGACGUGGAUCAGGGAAGAGAAUGUGUCAUAAAGGCACUCUGUGUUUAUCUGAAUGAGGACCCAGAGAAUCUAUUGAGAGAGUAUGUGGCAGCAGAUGAAGCCCUCCUCCAGGAAUCCAUUGAGGAAACCGCGAUGGGUAUACGUCUUGAAACACAGAGAUGCCAGUGAAAAACCAAAGGACAUUGGCAUUGUCCUCGAGUCCCAGAUUGUGAUGCAGGAUUUGGACAAUGUUCCCUUGGCUGCUGCCAUGUUGUUUGGCCUGAUUUAUUCUUUGAACUUAGACUACCCUGCUGAACUCAAGUACACCUUUGAAGUGCUGCAGAAGGUGGUCAUGGAGCUUGAAGGCAAUGCACUGUCCAAAAAAGCCCAAGUCCUGAAGAACAGACUUUAUCAGUGAACUGGCUAUCCAGGCUCUACAGCUUGAUUUCUUGGAAGACAUGCAUUAUUUCACCUGCCUCUUCCAGUUGUUGGACUUUUCUUUUGGGUGGGAGGCUUUUUUUUUUAUUUUUAUGGAACUAUAACAGAAAUUUUCCCCCAUUUUUAGUGUUUGGGGUGAUUUUUGUUGACUGUGAACACUGGUAAUUGGAAACAAGCCACUAUAAUUGUUUGUGUUUCACAUUAUUUACAUGUCCUGUGGUCAUGGCCAGGCUGUGUACCAUAGAGUGAAAGGACAGGUGUGUAUUCAAGCAAAAAUUCUGUCAGUGUGUUGUAUGUACAUGUGAGUUUUAAUGUGUGUGGUGACUGUAGCUUUGGCUUCGGGUUCUGCUAAACGGUGUGUUCCUCGGUUAUCCACACACACACACACACACUUCUGACUCCAGUGACAAUCCUCUUUCCUCUGGUUCACCAUGUUCUGUGUUUGUUGGGGAAAAAAAGGCUAUCUAGAUUGUUUGCUGGUAAUAUUGUGUGCAUUUUCAUCUACCUCUUCCAAUUGUUUGCGUUAUUUGGGCAGGUGGGAGGCUUUUUUUUCCCACUGUUAUUUUUUUUUUAAUCAAACCGAAACAGAUUACUGCCCCCAUUUUUAGGGUUUGGGGUGAUUUUUCUUUACUGUGAAC